AGCCACAGCCAUUUAACCCUGUAGCCCAAGACCAAUUACUCACUGAAGCUAAGCAGGGCAGUGCCUGGUUAGCAUCUGGAUGGAAGACCACAUGGGAAAACUAGGUUGCUGUUGGAA
ensembl:rRNA 5S_rRNA 5S ribosomal RNA